rnacentral:piRNA from 1 species
UAGUUCACAAAUGGUAGGCCUGAUU